UACGGGGGGAGCAAGCGUUGUUCGGAUUUACUGGGCGUAAAGGGCGCGUAGGCGGUCAGCACAAGUCAGUUGUGAAAUCUCCGGGCUUAACCCGGAAAGGUCAACUGAUACUGUGCGACUAGAGUGCGGAAGGGGCAACUGGAAUUCUCGGUGUAGCGGUGAAAUGCGUAGAUAUCGGGAGGAACACCUAUGGCGAAAGCAGGCUUCUGGUCCAUCUCUGACGCUGAGCUGCGAAAGCUAGGGGGAGCAAACAGG
rnacentral:rRNA from 1 species